rnacentral:rRNA from 1 species
AGAGUUUGAUCCUGGCUCAGGACGAACGCUGGCGGCGUGCCUAAUACAUGCAAGUCGAGCGGACUGAAAGGAGAGCUCGCUCUCCUUUCAGUCAGCGGCGGACGGGUGAGUAACACGUAGGCAACCUGCCUGUAAGUUUGGGAUAACUCCGGGAAACCGGGGCUAAUACCGAAUAGGCAUCAUAUGCGCAUGCAUGUGAUGUAAAAGACGGGAUACUGUCGCUUACAGAUGGGCCUGCGGCGCAUUAGCUAGUUGGUGAGGUAACGGCUCACCAAGGCAACGAUGCGUAGCCGACCUGAGAGGGUGACCGGCCACACUGGGACUGAGACACGGCCCAGACUCCUACGGGAGGCAGCAGUAGGGAAUCUUCCGCAAUGGACGCAAGUCUGACGGAGCAACGCCGCGUGAGCGAUGAAGGUCUUCGGAUCGUAAAGCUCUGUUGUGAGGGAAGAACGGGUAUAGGAGUAACUGUCUAUACAUUGACGGUACCUCACCAGAAAGCCCCGGCUAACUACGUGCCAGCAGCCGCGGUAAU